rnacentral:snoRNA from 1 species
UCCUCCUACAAAGGCGUGUCUGUUGUUCCCUGUCUUUGGACACGUAAGAGUUGGAGGCAAAGAAAUGUGGACAUGGAGAAAUCUGGGACCAGCUUGCUCCCUGCAGGCCUAAGAUCAACCAUCCCACAUAA